GGAGCAGAGGGAGAUAGACCAUAUCACAAAGUUUUUUACAUAAUUACCCUUCACUUACUUCAUAUUUUACAAUUCAAAUCAUCAAUUUAAGUAACUUCCACGUACAAUAAUCACCUAGAGGUUAUUGUGGAUGAGAGAGGCAUGGAAUAAGUAUCUUGAAGUUAUAUGAAACUGUCAAUUCUUCUCUCAUCUAUUUUUUUUCAUUUUUUAUUUUUGUCUUUCAUAUUAUGGUUUCAACCUUUUUUAUUUUUGUCUUCCAUAUGAUUUCAACCUUUAUCAUCACUUUCAUUCUUCUA
rnacentral:lncRNA from 1 species